UCAUUAUCAAGACUAUACUUAACAUCUUCCUUCUCAGAUAACCGCUUCUUCAUUUGGUUACACUCAUCCGUCUUGAGUUGUACCUCCUUGACUCUUUCUAUGAUGGUAGAUUGCAUCUCCGUCGCAAAGAGUAAUUGCCCCGAAUCACUCGGCAUCUUCACUUCUAUUUCCAUCCUAGCCAUCUCUGUUAUUAACUCAUUUUGAGCCGUUAACAUAGACAACUUUUCCCGACC
rnacentral:lncRNA from 1 species